GCUCAUGCUCACAAGGUCCCUGACCUUGUGAACUUCCCAUCUGGUCCUGACUCUACCAUGGGCACCAGGAUCCUUUGCUGGUUGACCCUUUGUCUCCUGGGGGCAGAUCACACCAAAGCUGGAGUCUCCCAGUCCCCCAGGCACAGAGUCACAGAGAGAGGACAGGAUGUCGCUUUCAAGUGUGAUCCCAUUUCUGGACACACCCGCCUUUACUGGUACCGACAGACACGGGGGCAGGGCCUGGAGUUUCUGAUGUAUUUUCAGGAUGAUUUUGCAUCAGACACAUCAGGGAUGCUUAAAGAUCAAUUCUCUGCUGAGAGGCCUGAGGGAUCCUCCCCCACUCUGAAGAUCCAGCACGCAGAGCAGGGGGACUCGGCCGUGUAUCUCUGCCAGCAGCUCAGCCACAGCAUGGCACCGUCCCUUCCUUCCUCUCCACAAACCCUCAUGUGCUACCUCUCCUCAUGGCUCCCAGAAUCCUGA